UACAGAGACCUCAAGCGUUAUCCGGAUUUAUUGGGCGUAAAGCGUCCGCAGGUGGUUUUGUAAGUCAGAGGUCAAAACUCACAGCUUAACUGUGAGGCCGCCUUUGAUACUGCAUUACUUGAGGGUGGAAGAGGUGAGCGGAAUUCUCGGUGUAGUCGUAAUAAGCGUUGAUAUCGAGAAGAACACCAAAUGCGAAGGCAGCUCACUGGUACAUCCCUGACACUCAUGGACGAAAGCGUGGGGAG
rnacentral:rRNA from 1 species